CGUGCCGUGAGGUGUUGGGUUAAGUCCCGCAACGAGCGCAACCCCUGUCUUCAGUUACUAACAGGUCAAGCUGAGAACUCUGGAGAGACUGCCCAGGAGAACGGGGAGGAAGGUGGGGAUGACGUCAAGUCAGCAUGGCCUUUAUGCCUGGGGCUACACACGUGCUACAAUGGCCGGUACAAAGGGCUGCAAACCCGCAAGGGGGAGCCAAUCCCAAAAAACCGGCCUCAGUUCAGAUUGGGGUCUGCAACUCGACCCCAUGAAGGCGGAAUCGCUAGUAAUCGCGGAUCAGAACGCCGCGGUGAAUACGUUCCCGGGCCAU
rnacentral:rRNA from 1 species